AAAAAAAAAAAAGAGCUUUAAUGAAGUAGAGUUGACACACAUAAACUGCACCUACUUAAAGUGAACAUUUGAUGAGCUUUGAACGAUGUUACAUCCCCAAAACCAUCACUACAAUCAAGAGACUGAACAUAUCUAUGUCAUCUCAGAAGUUUCCUCAUGUGCCUUUGUAAUCUUGGCUUCCAUCUCUUUCCUCUUUACCGCUGUCCCCACUCCCAGGUAACCACAGAUCUAUUUUCUGUCAUUAUAUGUUGGUUUUCCUCUCUAGAAUUUUGUAAAGAUGGGACAAACCAGAAUAUUCUUGUGUUUUCUCAUACUAAGCGUAAUUAUUUUGCGAUUCAUCCGCAUGGUGUGUCUCAGGGAUUCGUUAUUUUAUGUUGCAGUUACUUUAUUACUUUUUUAAAGAUUUAUUUUUAUUUAUUUAUGCAUAUAAGAACUGGGGUGUAAGCCAAAGGUACAGGUGUGUGAGAGGAUUCACCAGAGACAGAUUGGGGAACAGAACAGGCAGAUCUGUUGAAAUACACUGCUAAGGGGAGCAGCAGGUGAGAUAGGAGAGGUCUGCUGCGCCAUGUGAGUAGCUCCCUGGCAGAAGAAUGAAUUCAUGCCGCAGUGGCUGGGGAUAGCAUGAUAGUGCUGAGACUUAACCCCUUGCACCACCAGAGAGGCCCUGUUGCAGUUACUUUAAUGGACAUUUGAGUGUUUCCGAUUUGAACAUACCACCUAUAUAUAUCCUCCUACCAACACCUCCUACCAAACUCCAUAUAUCCGUUUGUCCAUGUGCUUUCUUUCUCUUGGGAAAAUAACUGGGUGAAAUAACUGGGUCAUAUGGCAGGUGUAUGUUUACCUAUCUUAAGAAUUGAAAAGUAGUUUUCCAAAGUGCUUGGACCAUGUAUUAUUUCCACCAGCAGUGCAGGAGAGUUCCAGUUGCUCCACAUCUUUGCCAAUGCUUGGUGUGGCCAGUCUUUCUCAGUGCUAUCUCAUUCAAGUUUUGAUUUAUUUCCUUCAUGGCGAAUGAUGGCGAUCAUCUUUUGCUGUCCUAUUAGCCAUCUGGGUAUCUUCUUUGGUGAAGUUAAUGUUCAAGUCUUUUGUCCGUAUUUUAUUGGGUUCUUUCAUUGUUACUGAGUUUUGAGAGCUCCUUAGGUCUUGAUGGAAAUCCUUGACUGGCUUGGAACCAGCCCCCAGGAUGGCCCUUCUAGGUGGGAGAGCUGGUGUGUUACCUGCUUGAGUCAGAAGAGGGAGCCCCGUGCUCGAUACACAGCAGCCAUGUCUUCUCUGAAACUGGACUGACACAUUUCUUCUCUUGGAAGUGAAUCUCCUAGAGACAACCCAGACUUCUGAACUGUGCAGGAGAAAAGUUUCAGGAUGGUCUUAAUUGUCCAGGUGAACUUGUCCUCCUCCGCUAUUUCAUCCAGGAUGGGCUCCAGCUGCUUUAUCUGCCCAUAAAUGUUCACAACGAGUUCCUCAACAACGCUCUCAUUCCAGCCUGUACUGGCAUGAUUUCUGCCAAAGAUCCCAAAGAUCUGCUGAAGCAUCUCAUAGGUGACCAAUAUGGCAUCUUCCUUCUGGAGCUGCGGUGGAUUCAUCACCUCCUCAGGGAGGGUGCUGUUCAUCCUUUGCUGGAGGCAAUCAGUGCUGGAUGCAUUCAACUGGCCCAGGAUCCUCUGACUUGCCAAAUUCCUGCUUCUUUGUUGGUAUCGAAGCAAAUUGUAGCCCUUAGAAAGAGCUGUGGUGCAAAAGCACACCAGGAGAGCGACUUGUAGGAUGCACCUGUUGGCCAUGGUGACAACAGGAAGAACAGUGCCCGUCUGCUACACCUGAGGUGGCACAACAAAGGCUUCAAGACUGCCUAUUACCCAAACAGGCCAUGCCUGAAAUUACAGACUUGUUCUUUUUUGAAACAACAUAAGCUAAAGGACAGUGUUAGGUCAGAUCUGACCAAGAAAGAAUCUGCUGCCGCUUUUGGAGGUAAAUCCCCAGGAACUUAUGGGACUUGGGCUUGAACAGAAGCCUGCCCUCCGCACAAAUAUUUAGACACGCCCUGCCACACAUGGCCAGCAAGGGGUGCACUCCC